CAAAAGUAUCAGUUAUUUCAUUUUGCCUGUGCAUGAUGGCAAGUAUGUCUCCAGAUGCGUCUAGAUUGUUUCGAUUGUAGGUUGUAUAAUGCCUUUCUUCCUCCUUUAACUGCAGAGUCCCUGAUUGGUACUGCCCAUGCUGCAUUCCCAAUAUACUGUUCUCCUGCUGUUGGUCAUUGGGGCUGCACUGAUGUUGCGAAGAAGGUUUCAACCAUUGCUCCGUUUCCUUUAGUCGGACAUCCAUAGACUGGUUUAUCGGGUGGUACCAGGUAUUUUGUAAAGUGGUGUUGUUUCUUAUCCUCUUCUUUCUCUCUGCCAUAGGGUUUAAGCAGUCCAAUGAUUGCCCUUCCCUUCCUUCAAAAUAGGAAGCCAUGCCAUCUGUGGGUCCGUGUGAAACACUUCUUUGGUCUGAGGCCUGUAAUACUGCCAGCAUAGCGGUUGAAGCGGCUAAUUCGGUAUCCAGAUCGAGCUGCUCUCUUUUUAUCCUCAGCUGUUGCUCCUGCUCCCCCAAAGCAUGCCUUUCCUUUAAGAAUGAUGCACGUACAACAAGUGCAGCUCUUUUUGCCUCCACCCUUAACUGUACAGAGGAGCAGACACUGCGGUCAACUCAGCCGACACUCGGAUUUCCGUGGUCAACUCAAACGACGCUGGAAUUUUAGUGCACUUGUAUGCUGAUAUUUACGGUAUUGAACAAGUAAUCGG
ensembl:lncRNA